GCCUGGGUGGCUGAGUCAGUUAAGUGUCUGACUUCAGUUCAGGUCCUGAUCUCAGGGUCCUGGGAUCGAGCCCCACUUCAGGCU
rnacentral:tRNA from 1 species